UAAAAUUUUAUUGACUUUAUAAAUGUAAUUAUUUUAGUUUCAAUGCUGCACAACAGAAUGCAGAUUGUUUCUUGAUGUACAAAGAUUUCUUAGACCUAGUAGAUACUGUACUGUAGAUAUUAAAUAUCUGAUCUGUAAUGGUCAACCCAUUUUUAUCUGACAUUUUCUCAUUCAUGCUUGAGCGUCUCUGACCGAUUGGGGACUCGGUGACAAAGGGAGGGUGGGCUGUGCACUAAGCCAUAUCCAUUCAGGGUCAAAACCUUAAAAGGUGACUCGUGGUGGGCAUCAUAAAAAAAAAAAAAUGAGCAAAAACAAAAAAAAAAGUGAGUGGAGAGAGAGGAGCACAGAGUUAGAGGAAAAGAAAGUAGGUCGACUGGGUCACUUUGUGGAUGAAGAGAAGCNGGUUCCAUGGUGUCCACCAUUACUGAAGGUUGGUUUGUGGCUAAUUUUGGGUUGUGGGGUCAGGAACAGCUUAAAGCGUGUCAUUGGUUACAGCUUCGAGCGGCCAAUGGCCUUUCAAUUCCUUAUGUUGGUUAUUUGGAACUAGACGUGGAGCUCUGUGGUAGAGUAGUUUUAGGUUGCGGUGUGCUGGUGGUCCGAGAUCCCCCUGGUGGCGUGUGUGUAGAUGUCCCUGGGGUGUUGGGCAUGAACAUCCUGGGCCGCUGCUACCAGGAGCUCUUUGGCCAGCAUGGCACAGCUCUCUUCGACCUACCAAUCGUGUCUCAGGCCCCUCAUUCUGUUUUUCAGGCUUUACAACAUUGCCAUCAGUUUGGCGGUCAGUCGGUUUCGGAUUGUGGGGGGCGAGUCAAAGUGCGGGGACGUCGGGCGUGUCGCAUCUCAGGUGGCACCAUGAAAUUUGUUGCUGCAACCUGUUCGGUGACAUAUUCGAGCGUUACAGUACUGUUUGAACCACCAGCAUCUGGUCUACCCUCAGGUUUGCUGGCAUCUCCUUCUCUUUUAAGGGUGGAUGGUGGUACAGUCUAUGUGCCCAUAGUUAAUGUUGGUACUGUGGAUGUGUUGCUGUACGCUAGCACUGUCAUUGGCACAGUGAAUAAGGUUGAUGUGAUUAGUUUGCCCCCAGAGGUCACAGAAGUUAAGAUGGUUACCGCCAAGGUGAGUACACAGGUUGUGCACGUUUCCCCCACUGUACAGGAACAGGUAGCUAUGCUAGAUCUAUCGGUGCUGCCAGAAGAAGAACAGGGUAAGGUCAGGGCAUUACUGGAGAAGUAUGUGUCUGUGUUCGCUAUGGACGACGGGGAUUUGGGAUGUACUAAUCUGAUAUCCCAUGAGAUCCCCUUGUUGGAUGACACCCCUGUUAGGCAGCGGUUUCGGCGUAUUCCUCCAUCCGAGUAUGAGGUGGUAAAGGCACAUAUCAAUCAAUUGUUGGAAAAUCGGGUAAUUAGAGAGAGCUGCAGUCCUUAUGCUUCGCCUAUUGUCUUGGUCAAAAAGAAGGAUGGUAGUUUACGCAUGUGCGUGGACUACCGUCGCUUAAAUUCAAAGACUAGGAAGGAUGCAUUCCCUCUACCACGUAUUGAGGAGACUUUGGAC
ensembl:lncRNA